UACGUAGGGGGCAAGCGUUGUCCGGAUUUAUUGGGUUUAAAGGGUGCGUAGGCGGUCUUAUAAGUCAGUGCUGAAAUAUCCCGGCUUAACCGGGAGGGUGGCAUUGAUACUGUAGGACUUGAGUAGAGUUGAGGUUGGCGGAAUUGACGGUGUAGCGGUGAAAUGCUUAGAUAUCGUCAAGAACACCGAUAGUGAAGACAGCUAACUAAGCUCUAACUGACGCUGAGGCACGAAAGUGUGGGGGAUCAAAACAGG
rnacentral:rRNA from 1 species